UUAGACUGAAAGAAAAUUGCAAACAAUGUACUGAAGACAAGCUUUUCAGUAGAUAAAAAUGUAUUUUUAUAAGAAUGGGGAUAAAAGAGUUUAAAAAAGUAAAACAUCAUCCAUUCCAGGCCUUUACAUUUUGAAAACAUUGAUUAAAUUAGUUUUUCACAGUUUUACCAGCACUACUUUUAAGCUUGCUUCCCACGCUGUUGUGCAAGUUACUUGCAGACUACUCAGGGAUACAAAUCCUCACCAAGCCUGACUCCUAGUGCCUCUGACAAAUGCUCAUGCUGUGAAGUAAGAGGCAUUCGGCUGCCCUGGAUCAAGCAGGCUGUCAGACGUCUUGGGAGAAGUUACCAUGAAAAGAAACUCCAAAACUUUGUUUAAAGUGAGGGCUGUUAAUCAAGGCCUUGAUGGUCUCAUUAGACAGGGGAGGAACCAUUUAAAUUCGGGAAGCUGCAGUAUAUGAAAGUCAUGAAACCGAACUGAACGCAUCUUUUGCCAGCUGGUUUCACACCCCCAGUUGGCAAUACACAAAGGUUUAGAGGGGGAAUUAAAUCCAUUUUUCAACAGAUAUAGCUAUUUUUGUGAUUAUCAUAUAGAUUCCAUGAGCUGCACUUUGGUCCUAUCAAGACAGGAAGGCAGCUGCAUGAGAGGUGGAAAGAGAGAAAAUGAUUAAGAUGAAAUUGGCACCAACAGCUAUCAUGGGCAGGGAAAGCAGCGAUGGAUUCCAGCCACAAUAACUUUGCAACCUGGUUUGAAUGGGCCUGAUGGGAUACUAUAAUGUAAUCUACGCUGAACAAGGUACGUGGAAAGCUGUCUGACAAGGGGCUCUAUUUCAAAGAAAAAAAUACAGAUUCCUUCCAGGCUCUAAUUGUUUUUAUUUUUUCUUGUUUUCCUCUUGGGGCUAACAUUGCCUUCAAUAAAAUGAGAUUUAAAAAGUUGAGUGAAAUAACACUCUAAACCAGAUUAAAGUGAGAAGAACUUGAAGGAGAGAUUUCCUCAGCAUCAGUCUUUAAAUCAGCUGAAAGGCCGGAAAUAAAUGGUGACUGAAGUUACUCAUCAGUCUAUGAGGGAAGGGGAUUAAAAUCUGUGUUCACAGGCUGAGAGCAGGUGUCUGUGAUGAGACCCCAUGCUGUGACAUGGAUGCAGCACAUUCUUACAUGAAAAGCCCUGGCUGAUGAAAUGACCACAGGAAGACAAGAUGGAACCCUCCCAGCACAAUCAGAAGAAGCUUAAUUAAGCUCUGUGGUUAAAUUUAAAGACUUUUUGUCAGAAGUAUGGCAGAGAACUUCAGUCUGGCUUUCAAAAGUGCUGAACACCCAAAACUCCUGCUAAGGCCUCCUGGAAUUACAGAAGCAGAUGUGGCCUAAUGCUUAGAGAACAGUUACCCUGUAAUCUUCCUGACUCUUUGAAAAAGGAAGAAAACCAAUGUGUACAAAUUUAUGAGAACCUUGCUGAUGGUGAUUCUCCUUGGGUGAGGAAAGAGGUAAGAAGAGGUUAGUUGCAUUUCUUUCCCACAAGCUGGAGGAAAAAUAGGUACUCAUAAGCACAGAGAUGUGAAGUGCCAUUCAGUUCAUGAGUUUU